CCUCUACCCUCCCAGCAAACCGCGAGCAGUGUGGCCGCACCCUGAGAGUCCUGGGUGGAGGGGGUCAAGGGGACGCCCACAGAGUCUAUGGCUUGAGCAAGUCGAUGGCUCUUGUCUUGGUGUACUGCUUGGGACGGGAAUAAGGGUGUCUGUAUGGAUGCAUGCCCUGAGGAGCCCCCGGGAAUGGCGUCGUGGGGUGUGCGAGGCGACGCCCCUCCCUCCCCCCAAUGUUUGCUGUCGUUAAUUGAUGAUUGCUUGGAGCAGACAUGGGACCGCUGUCAGCUGUCGGGAGUGCUUUCAAAGACUGCCUCCAGCGACUAUCGGAGGGUUGCGGCGCCACGUGAGAAAGAACAGCUUGGGGCGCGACGCAACGCAGACCCCAGCCAAGGACGCCGGGCGUGAUGGUGGGCGCCGCGAGGGUCUGCAGACAUCCAGAGGGAACCAGCCCACCUGCUGCGCCAGGCGUCGCCCAGAACUCUAUAACCUUCAGGCCUCCCUGGCUUGAACUGAACACGGCGUCGGCUGCACGGCGGCCUCGGCAGGGUGACGGCUGAAGCAGUCCUCUGUACCUCCAGGCUCAGGGGUCGUUGUCAUGUCUUAGAGGAAGCUUGCUGCGCCAUUCAUCCCGCACCCAUUAUAUUAACUCCUACAGACGGAAACUUCUCAUUUGCUUAUUUUCAGACUCCACGCUGAAGCGCGGCGAGCAGGCCUUGCAGCCUCCCAGCAGGACGCGCCGAGUGGAGCAUCCCUGCCGGCGUGCGGGCUGGGCACUACGGCGAGUGUCUCUAAGGCUGCUGGGACGUGUACUGGGCAGGGCGCGGGGGAACAGGCAACUUUUAACCCGCUUGGACUCGAUUAUGCUUCCCGAAUAAAGGAAAUGUAUUCUUUUCCCAAAGAGUAUGGAACGCAAUGAUGCCGGGCGAGCGCGUUGUGGCGCCCUCAGCAGCAAGGUCGUGAAGCCGCCGGGAACAUCCCCGGAGCCUCGGCGGCAGCCUUUUCAAGUAGGCGUCCUUGAAGCAGCUCUGCACGGCUUGUGAAUAGCGCUGGGUUGUCACUGGGUGCGCUGAUACUCAUUGCGUGGCGGUAGGUCACUGAUGGGUGCUGGGUACCCCUGCCUAGGGCUCAAACACUAUUACUGCUCCUAUUUCUGCGUCAGGGUUGUUGUUUUUUUUCUUUUUUUACGUCUUGGCCUAUUGCGCCGGUAGGCUUCUUCCCGUUGGAUCCUGAUGGUCGGCCCAGCCCGUUCUGGCGCAGGCGAGUGUUUAUAGUGGCGCCAUCUUGUACUGGCUCAUGCUGUCCUCCCGGAGCUCAUCUUUAAUCCUGGAAUCUAGAGUCCGGGUUGAUAGGUGGUCUUCUGGACAGCAUGUGGGUAGUUUUAAGCCACUCGGCGGCGGUUGAAAAAUCCCAGCUUGGUGGCACCAGUCGGGGAUUGAAUUCGCGUCCUCCUGAACGCGGGGCCGUCACGCUAUCCGUUCAGCCACCGCCUCCCCGUUUCGUUGGGCAGACAGGCUGGGUUUGUUCAGGAAUGGCUCGUGAGAGGAAGAACAUUCAUUUACGAAGAAAAUGAAGGUCACACUCGUUCAAGACGCAAAAGACGUCACAUGCAAGACAAACAGCGCGGUGGAAAAUUAUCGCUUCUCCGAAUAACAACUCCGUGAUGUGGUGAUUGGCACGCACAGCACACCCAGCUGUUCAUCUUCCCUCUCGGGCUGGUAAGUAUUUGUGUUCACGGGGAAACCUUGGGCCUGGAGACUGAGAUAGCACGCCGCCGAGAGCCUGGGAAAGAACUUGCCACAGUGCCACAGUCCGAGGAAGGUUGACGAGAGAACAGUCACGUAGACGAGACAAGAAACAUUUCGACACAUUUGAUAAGAGUUUCGUAAGAGUUUUGGGCCUUUCCAGGAACAGCUUCAUGACCCUGCUGGUGUGACCCUUCUGUACUGCGAACCUGAAAACACACAUUAGAACCUGAUAUAUCUCCUUACCAGACUUUGGAAAUAGUUGAUGUUAGGGAUAGAGGCGUUUGGGAAUAAGAUUACUCCUGGAAAUGACCACAACUCCUAGGAAAGCCUUGUCAGAUGUGUUCUUUGAGGUUCACGUUACCGAGGAAGGGUCCAACUGCCACCAGGGUCAUAAAACUACUCUUGGAAAUGCCCACAACUCCCACGAAAGCCUUGUUAGAUGUGUUCUUUAAGGUUCACGGUACAGAGGAAGGGUCCAACUACCACCAGGGUCAUAAAACUACUCAUGGAAAUGCCCACAACUCCCACGAAAGCCUUGUCAGAUGUGUUCUUUGAGGUUCACGGUACAGAGGAAGGGUCCAACUACCACCAGGGUCAUAAAACUACUCUUGGAAAUGCCCACAACUCCUAGGAAAGCCUUGUCAGAUGUGUUCUUUGAGGUUCACGGUACAGAGGAAGGGUCCAACUACCACCAGGGUCAUAAAACUACUCAUGGAAAUGCCCACAACUCCCACGAAAGCCUUGUCAGAUGUGUUCUUUGAGGUUCACGGUACAGAGGAAGGGUCCAACUACCACCAGGGUCAUAAAACUACUCCUGGAAAUGCCCACAACUCUGUCUCAUGUCUUUCUCUGCCUCUGUGGUGGAUAGUGGAGUGUUUCCCAUGUGGUAUUGGUGUGCUGGAUAUCCCUUCACUGGUAGCCUGGUAACAUACACUCCCAGGUCUUUCUCUGCCUCUGUGGUGGAUAGUGGAGUGUUUCCCAUGUGGUAUUGGUGUGCUGGAUAUCCCUUCACUGGUAGCCUGGUAACAUACACUCCCAGGUCUUUCUCUGCCUCUGUGGUGGAUAGUGGAGUGUUUCCCAUGUGGUAUUGGUGUGCUGGAUAUCCCUUCACUGGUAGCCUGGUAACACACACUCCCAGGUCUUUCUCUGCCUCUGUGGUGGAUAGUGGAGUGUUUCCCAUGUGGUAUUGGUGUGCUGGAUAUCCCUUCACUGGUAGCCUGGUAACACACACUCCCAGGUCUUUCUCUGCCUCUGUGGUGGAUAGUGGAGUGUUUCCCAUGUGGUAUUGGUGUGCUGGAUAUCCCCUCUCAAGGUGCGUGACUCUACAUUUUGCUUCAUUGAAUUGUAUCAGCCACUUUUUGUUCCAUUCCUGUAGCUUGGUGAGGUCUGCUGCUAGGAGAUACAGAGUCAAGGGGAUAAAAGUGUCUGCCUUGUUGAAUGACUUGUUGCUGUUGUAAAUACGCGAUGUUUGGUUACAAUUUAUGCAGAAAAUUUCGUACAGUAUCCGGUGGGGAGAGCGGCGAUGAUACGGCGAACAUCACCGCUCUCCCCUACACUCCCUCUUCAGUCUUUUCCUUACUUACUACAUUGUAUUAGCUUUGACAUGUAGGCUACUUGUGUAUCAUUUAUUUAAUCAUGUGUAAUAACCACUAGUCUCUCUCUCUCUCUCUCUCUCUCUCUCUCUCUCUCUCUCUCUCUCU